UCCAUGCACAAUGUAACGCUCCACUGUAAUUCUUUUGUGUGUAAUCGUAAGGGCACAAUUACCUGCUCUUGGGAGAAGUCUACCCAACAAAAUAGAGAGUAAACAAUGCUAAGAAAUGAUUAAAAAUGAGAAGUCACAAUCAUAUCCAAAAGAAUCAUGAGAGGAAAAUUUAAAAUUCACAUAUCUUAAUAAAUUUUUAAAAUUUUAUUUAAUUAAAAAAUUUAAACGUCUCAAUAGAGUAACAAACUUUAUGUACAUGCCCUUGGAAUUGCUCAAAGGAAAAGACACAGUGAGGCUUAAAAAUGCUUUCAGAUUAACAACAGAAGUUGACUAAUGUAUAAUCAAUUCUCAGAGUUACCCUUUUUCAAGAUUUCUAAGUUUUUAGGGAGAAGGAAGGUAAUCAUCAGAAUAUAUACUGUUACUUGUACAUCAAGUUGAAAAUUAAUCUGCAAGACUUAGUAGAAAGAGCACUAAAUCCAAGUUCCAAUGACUCCUGCCUCUAGCUUAUGAUGCGACGUUAAGCAAAUCAUUUAACCUUUCUGUUUUCAAUGAACUCCUCUGAAAUAUGAGAUGAUUGGACCUGAUGAUCCAGCUUUAAAGUUCUCUGAUUCCAAGUAGACUCAGACUCCAAUAUUCUGCACUAGUAAAAAUUCUUAAGGAAAUAACACCAAUCAAUAUAAAUAAUAACUAUAGAAAGAAAGUAUCGACUGAUGGGUGUAUAUCCUGAGAAGAAACUCAUAGCUCAGAAGGUACUCCAAACGUUAUGAAAAGGAUUCCUAUCUUGGAAGAAUACUUAACUUCACACUGCUCUUGAUAACAAACAAACAGUUAGGAGUCAAAUAAAAAUACAGAAAUGUGCCAAUGUUCUAACAAGUUAUGGCCUAAAAACCACAGAUAUAAUUAUUAAGAACUCAAUGUAUUUUCUCAGGUCAAUGACUCCACAAUAGAGAUGAAAUCCUACAUAUUUGCUACAAAUAUAUAUAGGAAAAUUAUUAUAAUAAUAGUAUUAUGAUCAGAGUAACAAAUUAAAUUAACCAUUAAACAUUAAAAUUAUCUUGAAUAUCAGUGAUUGAAAAAAGCAAAUUUAGUCAUAGGAGCUGAACUCUGGUAAAGAACAGUACUUCGGAGCACUUUCAAGUUGUGGAGUUUCUAUUAUGAGAAAUGUCUCUAGGAAAUCUGGACAGUUGUGUUCUUCAAGAUUUUUUGUUUUAAUUCUAUAAAUGGCAAGAUGACACACAGAAUUUUCCUGGAGUUCGUGGCAAAAUCUGGUAGAGAAAAGGGGAUUAAGAAAGAUGUAGGUGUAUGAAAGAAAGCAAUUCAGUGGAGGGGGGAAUGACUGGUUGUCAGAAGUGAAAGCGCAGAAUCCAUCUGCUAACGGACAGAAACAGAAGGUGGGACGUGACAGCGAAGAGCUUCAUAGAGUUCCUUUGUGGCCGCCAGGUGACUUCACCACGGGCUGGCCUGGUUUUCACGAUGGCAGAACCAGGGAACAGCAAGGUCUCUCAAAGGGUGGGAGGAAGAAGGAACAUCACACUCUCUAGGACCCAGCCGAUUGCUUGGUGGUUCUUGGUAAGCUGAGCGCUAGUUUUCAAAGGUCUGAUAUUUCACCUUAGUUUCUAAGUAGUCCAUUUUCCGAACCUAGUACAGAUUUUCCUUUAGCCUUCUAGAAAUAAUUGCUAUGGCUUCAACUGCCAAAGUGGCCUAAAAAUAAACACCUGUAAUUUCCGAAAGGGUUCUUAAAUGUAUGGAAUCUAUACUCAGAGUGCAACAGAAUGUCUGCUUUCUCUCCCAUGCCUUCUUUACACGUGAGUUGAUAAUGGGAAUUCUCUGAAGAAACUAAAUAACUUAGGGUCUACUCAAGAGGGUGGAAAUAAGGGUUUAGAUAAUGAGCUCUGAUAUAUACUAAUAAGUAAAUUAUAUUAAUCAUUACUGAUUCUAAUUUUAUUAAAUACCUAUGUUUGCUACCACAGAUAUCAGUUCACAUUUAAUGAGCACUUAUUUACCAGUCACUGUUCUAACCUAUGUUAUCUCAUUUAAUUUCUCCUGUAUAAUAUAGGUACUAUUUUCAUCUCUACUUAUCAGAUGGGGAGUACUGAAACACAGAGAAUUCAGUCUAACUCUGGAAUUGCACUUUUAGCCACUAUUCUAUGCUGCCUCUAAAUCUGACACAGUCUAAAGAAACUUCACUUCAUGCCUUAGUAAUGUGGUAUAAUCGUUUCUAAAGAGCAAAAGUAUCUUCUUCAGAAAGGGUUGUAGAAUACUUUUCUAGUGACACUACUUUCUUUUUAUUUCAAAACAAAACAAGCAAACAAAAGCACAUGGACUGUGGAAGACACUGAUUUUGGGGGGAAAAAAGGGAAAAAACAUGAGGUGUCGUAUUUUGUGUCAUUUUUAUAUCCAGCUGCACAUGCUAAUUCUAUGUGGAUCUUAGAAACCCUGAAAUUACAGACUGUUCAGACUAUUUUAAUCCCUAAAAACACUGUUGUGAUGUCUGAAUAAUAUAUUUUUUUAAAUAACCUUUUUACCUUAGCCAAAUAUAUUCCAGUUAAACUUAAGAACUUCAAGCAACCACAUACUGCCCUUUGUUCAAUGAAGAUGACUUUUCCUGAGACAAGCCCUCUGUGGCCAACCGUCCAGUGACAGGGACCGACUGCAUUCAACUGUCCACAUUCUCUAGCCUAUGGCACUUGAAAAUAAGAUGUCUUUAUAACCAGAUUUGACCAAGAACUCUUACUUCAGUGGUGGAGGAUUUCUGGGAAGCCAGGGAGGAGCUAAAAAUAUUUUAAAAAUAAGAACAAACACUUGCUCUUUUAUCUUUUACUUGGAUUUGGAUAAAUUUGAUCCUACGGGAUUCUAUGGAAUAUUAUGCCAUAUAUAUAUGCUUUACAUACAUGUCAUCCAAAUCUGUACAACCACCCUACAGAACCAUGCCUGGCAUAGAACAGGUGCUUAGGAAGUAUUUGCUGAAAGGGGAAAAAAGAAUUUUCUCAGGAGAGGCUAAAAGAAACAACAGACCUCCAGUGACCAAGAUUUCUGAAGAAUAUGUAUUGAGUAAGAGAUGUACUCUUUAUUUUUUCCCUAGGAUAGUAACAGUUUUCCUCAGAUAAUGAACUUUCUUCUCAGUGGAAUAUUCACACAAUAGCCAUCCAAAAAAUAAAAAGGCAACUUGAUUUGCCUUGCCAUAUUUUACUCAACAGCAUCAUGGAAAUGCCCACAGGUUAUCAGAAAAUAUAGCACUAUUUUUCUUUUAGACCUCAAUAAAUCAUUCUAAGUUUUUGAUGGAUCACAAUAAUAAGUUUUAAAUGUCCUAAGUUCUUAUGCUCAUAUUGGUGAUGGCAAAUCAGGUUUUAAACCUGUCUAGGUCUUGGUUAUGCUUAUCAAAAUAAGUUAAAGGUCACCUUUUAGAUCGGAAAUAUAGCAAUGACAACACAAGAAAACGAAUGACAAUGACAACAAAAAGCAUUACGUGUAGCAGUUUCUAAUUUACAAAGUAUUUCCACAUCCAUAACCUCAUUCGUUUUUAAUAACACCCCCGUGAAGAAGGCAGAGAGAGAGUUACCCUCAUUUUACAGAGGCAGGGCUGGAGCUCACAGAGCGAAGUCACUCAGGGUUACACAAUUAGGAAAUGAAUAGUUGGGGAUUGCGUGUGUGAAAUGGGGACAGAAGCACAGCUGAAGGAAUUUAAAAGAUGACUGGUUUAUAAAACAUAACCUUUCGUUUACUUUAUUGUCCUUGCUUACCUAACACACCCAACAGAGAGACUGCACAGAGAUUACGUUCUUUACUGUAAGGUGUCAUUAUCUAGCCUUGUCAUCAUUAUUUUUGUUUUAUACAGGGCCAUGGAGAAAAGUGUGCCUUCCUGUAUAAGAUGGUAGGUUUUUAAAUUAGCUCUUUUAUUCAUUUGUAAUACAAGCUGACAAGAACUAUUAUAGAGGACAGAGAGGAUUGGGAAUAAAACAUAAGAGGUUACGUUUCUUUAUAGCAAACUAAAAUCUGGUGGAUAUAAAGGGAGAAAUGUAUUUCAUUCUCUUAAGACUAGAAUAGAAUCUGGAAUGUUCCAAAUGGUAAUAUUUCCCAAUUCUUUCUUUGAUAGUAUCUUUUCUAAGAUGUUUGUCUGCCAGCCUUCCCAGUGAUCCAGAGAAUCUACAUGAAAACAUGCUUUUGUAUGCAAUAACACAAAAAUAAGAUUAUGUUACAUUGUCAGUUUCUACCUCGUAGAAUUCCUUGCAUUCUUUAGUGAGACCACAUCUUGAAGAGUCACUAAACUACCUAGAAAUACACAUUAUCUUUAAACAGUACUGUUACCCUGAUUAAUAACACUCUUCCUUUGUGGGGGAGGGAGCAAGAGUAAAAGAGGCUCACAAAGUAACUUGAAAACAUAAAAUAUUAGAGUCUUAUAUGUUUAAUGUCUGUCUCCUUUCCCCAUUCCCACUCUGGUGACAGGAACGCUGAAACACAACUAACAGCCUUUUAGGUUCUUAUUAAUGGGGAAAUGCUCAUCAGUUGUCUUAGCCUUUAGGUUUGUUGAGAGAAAAUAAGGUCUAUUAGGAGACUGUUUGGCUCCCAAGGGCAAGGAGUUGCAUCCAACUCUUGCAGGCUUCUGAUGCCUACAGACUGCAAAAUCAGGCCAUGGUAGGAUGGAGCGCCUCCUUGCUUUAGUAUUACUCUGGAAGGUUAGUUAAGAAUACUCACAAUUUUGGUGACCCGGGUUUGUGGGUUCAGAUCCCGGGCAAGGACCUAUACCACUCACCAAGCCCUGUCAUGGUGGUGACCCAUGUACAAAAUAGAGGAAGACUAGUGCAGAUGUCAGCUCAGGGCUAAUCUUCCUCACCAAAAAAAAAAAAAAAAAGAAAGAAAGAAAAGAAAAAUACUGCCAAUAUCUAGGGAUUUUCUCCCCCAAACUCUAUUAGGAACCCUCCCUGAUGAUCAUCUACAAUUGGUGGUUUUUAACCUUUGGUAAGGACAUGUUGAAAAUUUAAUAAAAGAUCUGACUCUUCCCAGGAUAAUGCUGCUGCUGUUGCCACUAUUAGUAAUAAUAAUGAUGAUAAUACAAAACUAGUAGCAGUUAUUGUUUAUUGAGUGCACAUACUAUAUGCAAUGACUUGAGCUAAGUGCCCUUCAAGGAGACACUGAUCCUGAUUCAUCCCUCCUUCCUCUCAUACUCCCCCAGUUCACCAUGCUUUUCUCCACCCUGUCUCCUAUGAUCAUUCUUGGCAAUGCCAACAUUCAUGUAGAUUAUGGUUCUCAACCCUGAAUGCACAUUAUAAUCAUAUGGGGAGCUCUUAAAAAAUAGCAAUUCCCCAGAAACCACACACAGAGAUCCCGAUUUAAUUAGUCUGGAGUAGGGCCUGGGCAUCAAUAUUCUUUGAAAUCUCCUCAGAUUUUGUGCAGCCAGAGUUGAAAACCAUGAAUAUACACUCCAUCCUUUCAGUUCCAUGCCCUCCAAAAUCUUCUUUGUUCAACCCACAACAGCCAUGUGCUUCCCUGGUCAUCUUAGACCUUAGGUUAAUAAUAAAACUACUAACCCCAGAGCUCUACUUCCUGCUUUGUGCAUGUUGACUACCAUCUCCUAACAAUCUACCUCACCCCCUAGAAGCUGCACUCUGGCAGUUCAGUGACCCCACAAAGAGGGCCAAUCCACUUUUUGUUGUCCAGGUCACCAUCAUGUCUUUUCCUUCUUUGUCCAACUUUGAUUCUGUAUUUCAUCACUGUAAUUAUUUCACUGCAUACACCUUUAAUUCCAUUGCCUUCUUGUUUCUACCUGGUUUUCAUCUACCUGGUAAAAUCCCAACCCCAGUUAAACCCAAUUUUAUACCAACUGCAAACCCGAAUGCACUUGAGCAGCCGGACGUGGGUUGGAGGAAAGCACAGAAUCAUGUUGACUAGUUUCAUUUUAAAUUUAUGGCUAAGAAUCUCUAGAGAUCAUCUUCACUUCCUUUCAACAAAUCUACCAACCUACCUGCAACUGUGCCAUAUACUCUUCCCCACCCCUCAUUAAGUUGGAUGAACUCUCUCUGGGGUCAAACCAUUUGUACGCCGCAACACUUCUCAAGAACUUUGUCCUUGAAACUACCCCUUCGUUCUCAUUAUAACUUUUCAUCUAUUUACUACAUCACUCCUAUUAGUAUCCAACAUGAUGUAACAUCUCCUAUUUAAAAAAAAAGCUUUUAUCUCCCUCGUCCUAACGCUUUAUUGCUCUGUUCUCCUGUAUAGUAAAAUGCCGCAAAAAAGUGUCCAUCCUUGCUGUAUAUUUUAUUUCAUUUCUUAAACAAUGAGGAGAUAAUAUAUUAAAAUAUGUGUAAGACAUAAAGAAUAUAACAUAACAAGCACCACUCAAGUAUUUCACCACUCAGUUUUGGAAGAGAGCAUCACUAGGAACUCUCAAGUUUACUUUGUGUCCUCCCACAACAUAUUCCUUUCCCUCCCUCACUAGGAAGUAAAUGCUAUCCUUUUUGUUUGCAAAACAUCCAUCUCCCCAUUUCCACCACCUCUUGGCAACCACCAAUCUACUCUUUGUUUUUAUGAGUUCAGUUUUUUUAGAUUC